rnacentral:rRNA from 1 species
GAUGAACGCUAGCUACAGGCUUAACACAUGCGAGUCGAGGGGCAGCAUGGUCUUAGCUUGCUAAGGCCGAUGGCGACCGGCGCACGGGUGAGUAACACGUAUCCAACCUGCCGUCUACUCUUGGACAGCCUUCUGAAAGGAAGAUUAAUACAAGAUGGCAUCAUGAGUUCACAUGUUCACAUGAUUAAAGGUAUUCCGGUAGACGAUGGGGAUGCGUUCCAUUAGAUAGUAGGCGGGGUAACGGCCCACCUAGUCUUCGAUGGAUAGGGGUUCUGAGAGGAAGGUCCCCCACAUUGGAACUGAGACACGGUCCAAACUCCUACGGGAGGCAGCAGUGAGGAAUAUUGGUCAAUGGGCGAGAGCCUGAACCAGCCAAGUAGCGUGAAGGAUGACUGCCCUAUGGGUUGUAAACUUCUUUUAUAAAGGAAUAAAGUCGGGUAUGUAUACCCGUUUGCAUGUACUUUAUGAAUAAGGAUCGGCUAACUCCGUG